UACGUAGGGUGCGAGCGUUAAUCGGAAUUACUGGGCGUAAAGCGUGCGCAGGCGGUUUUGUAAGCCAGAUGUUAAAUCCCCGGGCUUAACCUGGGAAUGGCAUUUGGGACUGCAAGGCUUGAGUGCGGCAGAGGGGACUGGAAUUCCUGGUGUAGCAGUGAAAUGCGUAGAGAUCAGGAGGAAUACCGAUGGCGAAGGCAGGUCCCUGGGCUGACACUGACGCUCAUGCACGAAAGCGUGGGGAGCAAACAGG
rnacentral:rRNA from 1 species